rnacentral:rRNA from 1 species
GGAAUAUUGGUCAAUGGGAGGAAUCCUGAACCAGCCAUGCCGCGUGGAGGAAGAAGGUCCUAUGGGUUGUAAACUCCUUUUGUUCCGGAGUAAUAAGGGGCAUGCGUGCCUCGAUGAGAGUACGGGACGAAUAAGCAUCGGCUAACUCCGUGCCAGCAGCCGCGGUAAUACGGAGGAUGCGAGCGUUAUCCGGAUUUAUUGGGUUUAAAGGGUGCGCAGGCGGGCUGUUAAGUCAGCGGUGAAAUCUCACGGCUCAACCGUGGAACUGCCGUUGAUACUGGCAGCCUGGAGUACAGACGGCGCCGGCGGAAUGUGUCAUGUAGCGGUGAAAUGCUUAGAUAUGCCACAGAACACCGAUCGCGAAGGCAGCUGGCGAGGCUGGUACUGACGCUGAGGCACGAAAGCGUGGGGAUCAAACA